GAUGAACGCUGGCGGCGUGCCUAAUACAUGCAAGUCGAGCGAACGGACGAGAAGCUUGCUUCUCUGAUGUUAGCGGCGGACGGGUGAGUAACACGUGGAUAACCUACCUAUAAGACUGGGAUAACUUCGGGAAACCGUAGCUAAUACCGGAUAAUAUUUUGAACCGCAUGGUUCAAAAGUGAAAGACGGUCUUGCUGUCACUUAUAGAUGGAUCCGCGCUGCAUUAGCUAGUUGGUAAAGUAACGGCUUACCAAGGCAACGAUGCAUAGCCGACCUGAGAGGGUGAUCGGCCACACUGGGACUGAGACACGGUCCAGACUCCUACGGGAGGCAGCAGUAGGGAAUCUUCCGCAAUGGGCGAAAGCCUGACGGAGCAACGCCGCGUGAGUGAUGAAGGUCUUCGGAUCGUAAAACUCUGUUAUUAGGGAAGAACAUAUGUGUAAGUAACUGUGCACAUCUUGACGGUACCUAAUCAGAAAGCCACGGCUAACUACGUG
rnacentral:rRNA from 1 species